rnacentral:rRNA from 1 species
UACGGGGGGGGUAAGCGUUGUUCGGAAUUACUGGGCGUAAAGGGCUCGUAGGCGGCCAACUAAGUCAUACGUGAAAUCCCUCAGCUUAACUGGGGAACUGCGUGUGAUACUGGAUGGCUUGGAUUUGGGAGAGGGAUGCGGAAUUCCAGGUGUAGCGGUGAAAUGCGUAGAUAUCUGGAGGAAUACCGGCGGCGAAGGCGGCAUCCUGGACCGGCAUUGACGCUGAGGAGCGAAAGCCAGGGGAGCAAACGGG